CCCCCCCCCCGGGCGGUGCUGGCAGCUCAGGCAGGUGGUGAGGACUUCCUGGCAGUUGGCCGGAGCUGACCCGCAACUGGCAGGGAGGCUGCGGCCAGAGGCCGGGUCAGGUGGAGUGGGGAUCGGCCCCCUCGUGUCGACACGUCGGGCCGGCAUCCUCAGACGCGGGCAGCCCGGAGCGGCACACCCACGGCCAUGGGGACAGGAGGUGCAGGGCCGGACUCGGAACCUGAGCUGGGGCCUCCGGACCUCGUCCCCGCUCCGUCGUCACACGGAGGCACUGCCGCGGCCCCGCGUUCUCUGAGCUCCUCCAGCCGCUUGGGCCGGCUGAGUCCUUGCAGGGAGGACCCGGUCUCUUCGGCCCCACGCCGCCACUCCGGGGCGGCUCGCUGAUGGCGGGGCCGGUGAGCUCAGAGCUGGGGGGCGGUCUGGCCGGACGGCGGUGACUCAGUGCAGAGGAGGAGACGGGAGGCAGAGGCGUUGCACGCACACGGGGCAGGAAGAAGGACGUGAGACAUAUGGAGCGUGACAGCUUAAUGGCCUUUGGCUAAAGCGUCCCCUGAGUGUGCCAGCGCGGGCGAGGCUCUGUGCGGACGCGGACGACAAUCCCCGUCACAUGGCGGCCGGGCGGGGACGGUGUGGCAGCCACAGUGCGCACACACGUGCGGGCCGUGCCCCCCCUGUAGGACCUGCCCAGCCUCCGAGGGACGGUGGGCAGGCCGGGACGGAGGGCACAUCCGGAUGGGGGUGAACCUGGCCCCUCCCUGCCUGUUCACUACGAUGCCCACCUCCCCUGCGGGCCCCUCCCUGGCCCCCACCAGCAGGAGCCGGGAAGAGGGGACAGCAAGGGCCCGCGGCCCCAAACCACACACUGGCCAUCUGGAGGCUGCAACCUGGGCCACCCACACACUACAGUCCCUCCAGAUCUGCUGUCCGUUUUUGGGGAGAAUAGUGAGGUCAGGAAGGACCUGGGCAUCCCCCCCCCCCCCGCCCCGAGUCUAGAAUAAGGCCACGUCCCCCGGGCAGCGUUCCCUUGGGGCCAGGGCCGUCCUUCUCCACAGCUGCAGCCCCGUCAGCCCCCAUCAGCACCAGCCGGCAUCUGUCCCCCAGUUGUUGUCACCCUUACUCUUGCCUCCGAACUCAAGGCCUGAGCAUCCAGCUCCCGCUGGCCCGUCCGCUAGCGAUCUCAGGGGCACCCCUCAACCCGUGUCCCAGCCCACUCUGCCAGCUCCCGCACCCCCCGUCGGGGCUCCCCUGCCUGGGUCUCCUGCGGGCGAGAGCACCCCCAGGCAGCCCUGCCCCCCUUCCCUCCCCCCUUGUCACGGACACACACCAUCCCACCCCGCAUCUGGGUGGAACCCUCUGAUCUGCUCUGAUGAGAUCACUGGCUGCCCUGGGGCCCCGCCAGUGCGUCUGGGCCCCUUCCCCACGCCACCCCCGAGCUCCCCUCUGCAGCCCCCGAGAAUCCCGUGCCUCAGCCCCCCUGUCUCCUCUCUGGGGACCCUGGGCCGGGCCGGCUGCACGGUGUGGGUCUGCUCACGGGUAGUUACGUUCUCACCUUUGCAGUGACCGGUGACCAGGGAACUCCCCCGCCCCCCACAGAGCCCUUGGCACACCUGCUGGGGCCACACAGCCCGAGGGGACCCCUGUCCUGAUCCAGUGUGACAAAGCACAUUCCCUUCAGCGACCCACGUGUGCCGACUUGAAACCUUGAACGGUAGAGGGGCAAGUGCGUCCUAAAGGUCAGCUUUCCAGAGAGUGCUUCCAAAUAAAAGAAGCCUAUAAAACAGGCUCUUUGGGAUUUUGGCAGGAAGCUCUCGUCCCAGGGGUUAGCUGUCUUAGGGGAGAGGGGAGAAGGCAGUGUCUUGAGAAUUCUCAGGUUCAGGAUCUCAACGAAGAGGUCAGCCGCGGACUGAGGACUCACAGCGUGGUGGGGGGAGGUCACAUCCUGGCAGCGGAGAGCCUGGGGGGCCCAGCUCCUCUGGGCCGUGAGCUCUGGAGGCCAGGUGGGAGGGCGGGGCCCACGUUCAACCACAGACACGGAGGGACUGGGCGCUCGGGCCGCAUAAAUGUCACCCCAUUCACUUUUUAUUCACAAAUACAAAGUAAGGUCCUAUUAUGUGCCAGAUAAUGUCCCCAGCAGGAAACAGUAGGCACAGACCUGAUGGGAACAGGAAGAGUUUUGGGGUACAGGGGCAGUGGAUAAUGGAGGCCCUCACCCAUGCGGGGUGAGGGGAGCUUUCCCCAAGGCCAGACCUACGUGUGCAAAGGCCCUGUGGCAGGAGACGCACCAUGUACCCAGAGCACGUGUGGGCGAGGUUGGAGGGAGGUGAGCCCCCAAGGCCAAUAUUUGCUUCAACCAAAGGAUGUCAGCUAGGCUGCUGCAGGAGAUGCUUGUCUAGCAAAUGCCACUGUAAGACCCCCAGGGCCUCCCCCGACAGCCCACCGGGAUCAGCCCCCAGAUGUCCCAGGGCCUGCCCCCAGACCUCAAACGUUGUUCCCAUGACUACCACAUCACAAGCACCGAGACUCAGGUUGUAAGAUGACCUCGUGUGUUGCUCUCAGAGUCUGUGGGCCAGGGCUUGGACAAGGCACACAGGGACCUCCUUCCUGGGUGGGGGUGGGCGCUGAGCCACUAAAAGGGCCCAAGUUCCCCCACGGUCCCACCAACUGGCUGGGCUCUCUGUUCCUUCCAUUUCCAAGGUCUGUGCUCAGCAGGAGCGUGAUUCUUCAACCAUGUGCCCUGGGGGUCAGGGGGACACCCAAGGGGACACCUGUAGGAACAUGUGCCCCCCCCCGAGGUUGGCCCAGGACCAGAUUGGGACCGGGGACCCCCAGCUCAGAGCCUGGACGCGGGAAGUGUGCGCACAGCAGGCUGAGCCAACACAGGUCAGACUCUCCUGCAGCCCCCCGCCAGGUGUCCCAGGUAAGCGCCCCUGCCCCACCAGCCCGGGCAGACCUGUAGGUCACAGCAGGUCACACACUGCCCAUCCUGGCCCAGCAGUGAGGGAGGCGGAAGGAGGGCAGGGUCUCAGCCCAGGGUGGAGUCGGAGGGCAGGGCAGCGGAGAGCGCGGGGUGGGGGGAGGCGGGGCGGGUUGGGGGGGGCUAGGGGGAAAGCCCUGCUGGCCUUGAUCCUGGAGGCACACGCCCUGAAGCGGUUUAGGACUCGGACUGCGCGGUGGCGGGGCCUCCAGGGCACUCCUGCCCCACCAGCCGCGCCCCCUGGUUUCCUUUCAGUGCCAGGCAAUGCUCCGAGCCCCUCACUCCUCCCCCCGCAGCAGGCUCUAUGCUCAGCGCCCCCUCCUGUCCUGGACGGUCCCCAGGGCUAGUCUCCUGCACCGACAGUGCUCAGUGUCCAGAGCAACCCCAGUGGAGCCAGCUCCAGGCACCGACUCACAACCCUGUCUGCAGACGCUGCCAAGGUCGCCAAAAACAAGGAAAGUCCAAGAGUGUCCCAGCCGAGAGGGGCCCGAGGAGACAUGGUGACCAAGCGUCACGUGGUCCUGGCACAGAAGGAGGACAGUGGGACGUCAGCAAAGCCCAUUUCCCAUCACGGGUUCACACGCUCCUUCCCUGUGACAAAUGUACCAUCGUGACCCAAGACGGGAGCGGCAGGGCAUCUGGCUGGGGGCACGUGGGGACUCGCCACCCUCUCUUUGCAGCAUUUCUGUAAAUUGAAACCCUUCUAAAAUUUUCCAUGUGUGUUUAAAACAGGAAGGAGAAAAAUAAAUCACAACUUGAAAAUUUACUGAGGAGAUACGGUUUCGCAGACACCAGUGAGCCUUCGGUUUGAUGUUACACGUUUCAGCUCUAGAAGAAGGGAGGGGCUGGGAGGCGUGCGGCUGCCCCGAGUGGGUCUGGAACUUUGUUACGUGUGCAAGCAGUCCACGCAGC